rnacentral:rRNA from 1 species
AGAUUGAACGCUGGCGGCAGGCCUAACACAUGCAAGUCGAGCGGCAGCACGGGUACUUGUACCUGGUGGCGAGCGGCGGACGGGUGAGUAAUGCCUAGGAAUCUGCCUGGUAGUGGGGGAUAACGCUCGGAAACGGACGCUAAUACCGCAUACGUCCUACGGGAGAAAGCAGGGGACCUUCGGGCCUUGCGCUAUCAGAUGAGCCUAGGUCGGAUUAGCUAGUUGGUGAGGUAAUGGCUCACCAAGGCGACGAUCCGUAACUGGUCUGGAGAGGAUGAUCAGUCACACUGGAACUGAGACACGGUCCAGACUCCGUACGGGAGGCAGCGAGGUGGGGAAUAGUUAGGACAAGUGGGACGAAAGCCUAGACUCCAGCCAAUCGCCGACUAGUGUGGUAGAAGUAAGGUCUUACGGAUUA